UGCAAACCAGCCGCGCACCGGGGUCCCCUUGCAGCCAGCGCGGCCUGCACAGAGCCAGACCGAGGACUGCAGCAGACUGCUCCUCAUAGGAAGCUAUUGUCUAAUCCCUGAGAGGAUUUUUUGGUGCAAGCCAGGCAUCUCGAAGGCACCUGUCACUUUGGUACUGAAGUACAGCAGGUGAAACCAGAGGAAGGCUUUGCUGCCCCCCGACCAUUAGGCCACAUCCAACAUGAGAGCUGGCUUUUUGGACAUCUGUGGCAAUUUUCUGCAAUAUUCUUGGAAAACCUUAAUUAACUUAGUUCAAAUAUCUUUGGAGUUCAUUGUAUAGGAAGUAAUGUGUGCUGGGAUUAUAUGUAACUUCUCUAGGUGGCAGAUGGGAUGGGAACCCUAGGAAUCAUUGUGAAUGUCCAAGAAUGGCAUUCAACAAUAGGCCAAACAAGAAUGGACUUUGGCGGGAGGGGGCAAACAGUGUUGAGUGCUUUUCCUGGGAUCUGUAUGGUGAGGUGAAUGCAAAAGUUGAAGCUAUGCCUUGAAGGAGGAGCCCAUUGUGGGCCGAGAAUCUGAAAAUGCAAGGCCCCAGACAGGGCCAGCUUUACGAAGUGCGGGGCCCAAUUCAAACCGUUUUGGUGGGGCCCUGCCACGCAGGAUUUUUUGUUGAGCAAAAAUUAAAAAAGCA